rnacentral:tRNA from 1 species
GUUUAUAGCUCAGUUGGUUAGAGCACCACCUUGACAUGGUGGGGGUCGUUGGUUCGAGUCCAAUUAAAC